UAGGGAAUCUUCCACAAUGGGCGCAAGCCUGAUGGAGCAACACCGCGUGAGUGAAGAAGGGUUUCGGCUCGUAAAGCUCUGUUGUUAAAGAAGAACACGUAUGAGAGUAACUGUUCAUACGUUGACGGUAUUUAACCAGAAAGUCACGGCUAAUUACGUACCAG
rnacentral:rRNA from 1 species